rnacentral:rRNA from 1 species
AGUGGAGUUCUUCGGAACAAAGCUAGCGGCGGACGGGUGAGUAACACGUGGGCAACCUGCCUCAUAGAGGGGAAUAGCCUCCCGAAAGGGAGAUUAAUACCGCAUAAGAUUGUAGCUUCGCAUGAAGUAGCAAUUAAAGGAGCAAUCCGCUAUGAGAUGGGCCCGCGGCGCAUUAGCUAGUUGGUGAGGUAACGGCUCACCAAGGCGACGAUGCGUAGCCGACCUGAGAGGGUGAUCGGCCACAUUGGGACUGAGACACGGCCCAGACUCCUACGGGAGGCAGCAGUGGGGAAUAUUGCACAAUGGGGGAAACCCUGAUGCAGCAACGCCGCGUGAGUGAUGACGGCCUUCGGGUUGUAAAGCUCUGUCUUCAGGGACGAUAAUGACGGUACCUGAGGAGGAAGCCACGGCUAACUACGUGCCAGCAGCCGCGGUAAUACGUAGGUGGCAAGCGUUGUCCGGAAUUAUUGGGCGUAAAGCGCGCGCAGGCGGAUAGGUCAGUCUGUCUUAAAAGUUCGGGGCUUAACCCCGUGAUGGGAUGGAAACUGCCAAUCUAGAGUAUCGGAGAGGAAAGUGGAAUUCCUAGUGUAGCGGUGAAAUGCGUAGAUAUUAGGAAGAACACCAGUGGCGAAGGCGACUUUCUGGACGAAAACUGACGCUGAGGCGCGAAAGCCAGGGGAGCGAACGGGAUUAGAUACCC